rnacentral:rRNA from 1 species
UCGAGAAUCUUCGGCAAUGGGCGCAAGCCUGACCGAGCGACGCCGCGUGCGGGAUGAAGGCCUUCGGGUUGUAAACCGCUGUCGGAGGGGAGGAAAUCCAUGGUGGCUAUCCAUUGUGGUUGACCUAUCCUCGGAGGAAGUACGGGCUAAGUUCGUGCCAGCAGCCGCGGUAACACGAACCGUACGAACGUUAUUCGGAAUCACUGGGCUUAAAGAGUACGUAGGCGGCCGCGCAAGUUGGGUGUGAAAUCCCUCGGCUCAACCGAGGAACUGCGCUCAAAACUGCGUGGCUUGAGGAAGACAGGGGUGAGUGGAACUAAGGGUGGAGCGGUGAAAUGCGUUGAUAUCAUUAGGAACACCAGUGGCGAAGGCGACUCACUGGGUCUUUUCUGACGCUGAGGUACGAAAGCCAGGGGAGCGAACG